GAUUCUUUCCUUCCUUCCAAGAUCUUAGCUACCAAGGGCCGUGCAAUUCUGAAGCCACGCACGUCUGUCUUUACGGCUAAUUGGGGAGAGACUGCCUCAAAUACAGAGGCAGAGAAAUAGAAAGGAGAUACAAUACAAUACAAUACAAUACAAUACAGAGAAAAAGAAAGGAGGCAGAAAAGGAGAGAGGAAAACCUGACAAUACUGUCUAAAUCCCUGGAUCUUUAACUCGUAGACCCAAAGGACUUGGCCAGGGAGUCCAGAAAUCCGCCCCCACCCCGCCUUUUUCAACGGACGCCAGUUUGAGCCGGUGAUUCUGUCGCUCCGAACAGCAAGAUUCCUGGUUACUAUGCGUUCCUUCCAACGGCUGCGGAGGCAUCAUCAACUUCACAACUCUGCUGAGGACCCCGGCAGUGAGGAAAAAGAGGCCAGGUACACGGACUCAGGCGCCUGACCGAGUCCAGCCUGGCCCAGCUCAGUUAGUGCUACGCGCGAAAUUGCCGCCCCCCCUGCUUCUCGAAGCCACGUAGAUCUGACUCAGCCAGUUCUGCAGAAACCAAUCGUUUCCACCAGACUCACCCCCGGAGGCGUGCGCUGAGUUACCUGGGAAUUACCUCUCUGCCAGAACAUCCUCCCAGAAAAAUAAAAAAGAAAUAAAAGGAAUGUGUUCAAUGGAUAAACCAUUCUGUACCUGGCUCAUCUUCUUGGCUGUAUGACCUUGGGCAAGUCCUCAAAACCCACCAAGUAGAUGCCACUUUCCGAUUUUUCAAGAUGAAGGAAACUGAAGAUCAGACAGCUUAAGCGACUUGUUCAAAUACAAAGAGUCCACCGGCUUCUUCUCCUUUGACUCAUGAAUCCUUCCUAACCGUCUCAUUGAACAGUAUGCUACAAAGAUCGUGCAACAUCCUUCAUCAUAUUAAGACGAGUUUUGACUUGUCCCCACUUAACAUGUGAUGGAAAGCUGGUGGAUUUACCUUAAAUUAUUUAUGAAACAGAGAACAAAAAACAUGAGUCGGUUUCAGGACAGAGUUUUACUAUAUGUUGCAAGGCAUAAAAAAAAAAAAAGACAAAACAACCUCCCUUUAUGAGCUGAUGUUUAGAAUGCUAAAUUCUGUGCUGAUUUUUUUAAAACAUAUAAUUGUUGUUCUAAAUGACAAGAUGUAAGAAAAGGUUUCCGGCUGAUAUUUGCAAGCACAUCUCUCUGCAAAUAACACAUUGCAGGUGUGGAGAGUCAUUACUCCCAAUAAAUGCAAAGCAAAAUUGUGUAUAAUUGUUGCUAUACGUUCUGUUUUUUACUUUAGUUUUGAAGCGCUCCCUGUAAGACUUUUAUCGGAUGAAUGCCACUCUCAAAUCUGGGGAAGGUCAGCCUCGGGUGAAUUUGCUGAUUUAUUAUCGGAUUCUUGUUCCUCAUGAAUUGCUGCUCUCAGUAUCCCUGCUCUGUAUGUAUGCCUGUUUUCAAAUAAUGGUCCAUUACAGGUGUACAUUAGAUAAUCUAUGAUGGGGGGCGGGGGGUGUUGCAAAGAGCCAAUGUGUCCCAACAGCUUACCCUGGCUGUAAGGGUCAUUGGAUUCCCCGGUCUCCAGUCGGGUCUUGCCCAACCUUGCCAGAACAUACUGCAACUUUGCACGGGCCCCAAGGUCUUCAAGCGUGAGAGCUGGCCUUGCCGGACAAACUCUUGCCAACGGCUGGACUUCAUUAGUCUGUUCAUUCCCCCCACACUGAUGCGUCUGCCUUCCGAACACAGGAAAGGGCAAGGGAAUGGAUCCGUCCCCCAGAGCGUAAGCUCACAUGGCGAGUCUAGAACCAUCUGGCCCCGUACACUUCUCCACAGGUUGAGGAGAGCACAGGGGGACCCCGACUUCUCCUGCUGUUUCCUUCCACUGACAAAGACUCUGUCCUUACCUAUGCCGUAGGACAGUGAGAUGGUCUCGAAUCCCGGUACCCGUGGUGACAGCUGGUGAUGCUGAAAGGGCCCCCCACCCCCACCCCGCCAGCGUGAUGACAAAGCAUAAAAACAACUUAAAAGUGCAGAAUAGCCCUAAUGAGGGGCAGACAAAAAGCAGUGGGCAGGAAGUGGUUCAUCAGGAGAAUUAAGGCCCUUGCCCCCAAUGAGGUCUGUAGGUAAAGCUAAUUAUCUGCAAUGACUCAGGGGCAAAGCGUGGCUGAAAAGAGCAGGAACUAAAGCCUGUUGAGAGCCCGUGACUGAGCUGGGUUGAAAGGGGAAGAGAAAUAUGUCCUGGGAGCCACACGAGAAGGGGAAAAGGCCUGCAGAGGACACAAGCCACACAGGGGUGUUCUGUGGGGGUCUCCCUUACCUCUAGCUGCCUGGGUCCCGGAAGGGAAGUGAGUCACUUUCUGAUAACUCACAAUCGAUUGAGGUCCGUCAAGAUUUUUAAAAACUAUUUUGUAAUUUUUUUUUUUUUGAGAGAGAGAGAGAGAAUGCAUGUGAGCAGCGGAAGGGCAGAGAGAGA